UCUGAAGCUGUGCUCCUCACCAGGGUAGAGAGAAUUAGAACAGUCCAUUCCCCAGAGCAGAAACUGUGGGUAGGCGCCAGGAGGGCCACUUGAAGUGGCGUCUGUCAUUCAAGAAGGAUCUUGAAGACGACUCACAGCAUUAUCUGCCAGGGAGACCGUGUCCCCAGAAGGAUGGAAAAAAGACAGCUGGCAGCCAUAAACCAACCUUAAAACACACACAUAGGACCUGGCAACAAAAUCUGCAGUGCACUGCGAGUCACUGUGUCUUAAGGGGUAUAAUUACAUGUUGCUAGCACAAGUACGUACACAUACAUUCAUCUAUUUAAAGUAUUAAUUUAGAGAUUGUAAGCAUUUGAAAUACACGACAGUUUCUGUAAUCCUAUAUUAGCAUUUCGCCAUUAAAAAAAAACCCAGCUUAUCAGGUCAAGAAAUAGAAUCAUCUGGGCCUUCACCCACCUCUGAUGGCCUGAUCCAUGAGUAAGCUGCUGAUGCUGGGACGGAAAUUGCAUGUAAAUGAUGGGGACGUUGGUGCUGGGGAAGUGCAGUGAAACUGGACAUGUUCAGCAUUUGUUCGUCCAAAUAUAAUUGCAGAUGUGUAACCACCUACAAGCACAGGAGAGUCCAUGCACAGAAGCCCAGAUCCCCAGCAGCCUCAUCUUCCCUUGAGCAAAACUUUUCUUCUCCAUCAUGAGAUGAAGGAACCCCAACCCCUCCAUCAGGUACUUUGAAGAUGUUUCCACUUCCCUUCGAAGAUGUUCAAUGUCCGUACAUAGAAUGAAAGGUGCCACCUUCUCCAGCAUGAGACAUAUCCCCAUGUGAUCCCUUACCACGCAGACUCCUGGCUGAGUUAGGAAGAAAGAAUAGAAGUCAAUGCAUUCCAUUUGUUUUCAAGGCACACCCAAAAAGACUCAGAAAACGAUGGAUGGCAAGUACUCCCCCUUUCCAAAGUGAGGUGCUGACCACUGGUAAUGCAGUAAAUCUUGAGGGUAUCAAAGGAUUGAAAUGGAAGAGCCCUGAAAAUUGGACAUUAAAAAGGCAUUAAUUUCAAGAGCAUUUUCUCUGUCCUGUAAUUUCCCCUCCAGUAUGAGAUUGUGGUGGGAAGAUGCACCUCUCCACUUCACCAGGUGUGAGAUGAAUUUUGUUUCAGUUUGAUGUCACUCAGAAAUAGAUCCCGAGACAAGGUUUCAAGUUCUCAGGGUUUAUGUGGAAGAUAAUCCAGAAAGCACUAGUGGAGAAGUGGGAAAGUGAUACAGGAAAGAGAACCAACAAAGGAUGUGUUACCCCACUGAUGUCAACUGGAGUAGGAUCCCACUAGGAUACGCAUGGUCCUGGGUUCUCAUCUUGGGCAGAACAAAGGUAAGAGGACAACCUGGGCCUUUAGAUAUGUGAUAUGGGAGAGACAUGACAUCUGAAAUGCAGAUACCAAAGAAAUCAGGGAAACGUAAAUCCCUCACGAUUUUACAACUAACUUAGGGAGGGCACUGGCCAUCCCCAUCACAACCAUAUAGUAAUGGCAAACACAGUGACACAGGUCAAGAGAUACAUGGUCAACACAUUAUUAUUAUUUUAUUUUUUAACAUUAAUAUGUGAUACUUGCAGAUAUUCUUUUAUUUGGAAUAUCUCCAUCUCAUUAAUUCAACAUUAUCCAG